CGAUGUAAACAGUAAAGAAAAGGGUAGUGAGGUUGAAAAAUUUGAAGGCUUAAAACAGUAGCUGCAGAAUCUUCAUUGCUUCCAGAACCAAUAUAAAAAGGCAUUUGAAUUUAUACCGGAGAGGAAAGCUGCAAUUCUGAAAGAGUUGAAGGAGUUGCUAGAGGAGUACAACUUGCCCUAUGAGGUUCUUGAAAAAGUGACAUCCCAUGCUUUGAUGUAGAAUACUCCGAUAAUAUAGUAGCUUUUGCGAAACCAAUGGUUAAAUCCCUUGAUGUGCUCAAGCCAAUCGAUCGAGCUAUCAAUGAUUGCAUGGGAAUCAACAAGAAAAAAUUGUCGAAGUGUCGUCGCAAAGUGAAUGUAAGCAGUGACUUAGUCCAGUUAACCAAUUAAGGUUCCAAAAAGAGUGGGCCUGACAUGAAUAUCCUGCCGGCGAUGAUUACCAGGAUUCCAAUGCCAGUCUUUACUAUUCUGACUUUUAUUCCUUAGAAGGGGGCUUUGUCACUGACAGAGUUCUUGAAAUGUACACUGGACAUUUCAAUGGAAUUUUCCCAUCUCUUGAUUUGCCAAGUGAAAUAUUGCAACAGUAUGAUGUUUGCAGC